rnacentral:rRNA from 1 species
GAUGAACGCUGGCGGCGUGCCUAACACAUGCAAGUCGAACGGAGAUUACGGACGGAAGUUUUCGGAUGGAAGCCUGUAAUUCUUAGUGGCGGACGGGUGAGUAACGCGUGGGCAACCUGCCCUAUACAGGGGGAUAGCAGCUGGAAACGGCUGGUAAGACCGCAUAAGUCGGUUAAAUCGCAUGAUUUGAUCGGGAAAUGAGCAAUCAGGUAUAGGAUGGGCCUGCGUCGGAUUAGCCAGUUGGGAGGGUAAAGGCCUACCAAAGCGACGAGCAGUAGCCGGGCCGAGAGGAUGGUCAGUCACAAUGGAACUGAGAAAGGGACGAGACUGCGAGGGGAGGCAGAAGUGGGGAAUAUUGGACAAUGGGGGAAAGAGUGAUCCAGCCAUGCCGCGUGUGUGAAGAAGGUCUUCGGAUUGGAAAGCAAUUUAAGUUGGGAGGAAGGGCAGUAAGUUAAUACCUUGCUGUUUUGACGUUACCAACAGAAUAAGCACCUGCUAACUUCGUG